GCUAGCUAAUAGCUGGGUUAAACACAGUUAAAAUGCUGAAAGCUAACGUAAAACAGUGUAAAGUGUGACUGAAUUUCACUGUAGAAAAUUCCAACACCGGGAUGCAACAGUCCGCUCUGCAGCGCAGCAGCUGCCGUUGUUGCAAAUAAACAAAGCAGACGGUGCGUUCACUUAAAACAGGUAGCCUUGUGGUGCAUUCAAAGUUAUUGUAAAAAUACCCUUUUCCCAUCUGGCACUUGUUUUUGUUGUUCACCAGCAAUUUACUGGUGAAAUAAAUUAUUGUAAUAAGUUAUGGUCAUUACAUUGUUAUUAAAUCUUUAAUUUUGACCAUAUGGACUUAGCAAUAAACAAGACGUUCUUUAAUGUCAC